AAAAGCCGCCACAACCAUGUGAUUCCACAAAAACCGCAGAAUGCAAUGCGAAGGGACAAGAAUGCAAGCUUAUCGACAACAAACCGACGUGCUUUGUUCCAGAAAAGCCGCCACAACCAUGUGAUUCCACAAAAACCGCAGAAUGCAAUGCGAAGGGACAAGAAUGCAAGCUUAUCGACAACAAACCGACGUGCUUUGUUCCAGAAAAGCCGCCACAACCAUGUGAUUCCACAAAAACCGCAGAAUGCAAUGCGAAGGGACAAGAAUGCAAGCUUAUCAACAACAAACCGACGUGCUUUGUUCCAGACAAGACGCCACAACCAUGUGAUUCCACAAAAACCGCAGAAUGCAAUGCGAAGGGACAAGAAUGCAAACUUAUCAACAACAAACCGACGUGCUUUGUUCCAGAAAAGCCGCCACAACCAUGUGAUUCCACAAAAACCGCAGAAUGCAAUGCGAAGGGACAAGAAUGCAAGCUUAUCGACAACAAACCGACGUGCUUUGACAAGCCGCCACAACCAUGUGAUUCCACAAAAACCGCAGAAUGCAAUGCGAAGGGACAAGAAUGCAAGCUUAUCAACAACAAACCGACGUGC